rnacentral:rRNA from 1 species
UACGAAGGUCCCAAGCGUUAUCCGGAUUUAUUGGGUUUAAAGGGUGCGUAGGCGGGCUAUUAAGUCAGUGGUGAAAGCCCCAGCUUAACUUGGGAACUGCCAUUGAUACUGAUGGUCUUGAGUACAUUUGAGGUGGGCGGAAUGUGUCAUGUAGCGGUGAAAUGCUUAGAUAUGACACAGAACACCGAUUGCGAAGGCAGCUCACUAAACUGUAAACUGACGCUGAGGCACGGAAAAGCGGUGGGGAGCAAACAGG